ACCCCGGGGACAUCCGUUGCGCUGUUUAUUUGCUGUUCUGCAGAAGCUUAUCGCAAAGCAAACAGCACCCGUGAGGGGCACGACCGAAGCGUCACCGGUCCCUCGCCCCUUCCCCCCGGUGCCACCGGGCAGGGACCAAAGGCCGGUCUGGCCGCCGAGGUGGCAGCGAGUGCUGCCGGGGCCGUGCCAGCUCUGCCGGCGGGAGGAAGCCGGGCGCGACGCUCACCGCAUAAGAAACGAGCCCGGCCGUCGCCUGGCCGUGCCGGGAGGUGCUGGGGGAGGCCCUGCAGCUCCCACCCGGAGCCGGACCCCGCAUUGUGCCCAGCCUCGAGGAGCUGCAUCCGUGCCGCCCACCAUGGAGGCCCCGGAGCUGCCGGUGCAGGCAGAGAUGGUGGAGCUGGUGCCCAACGGGAAGCACGCGGCCGCGCUCGGCACCACCGCCCUCCCCUCGCUGGCGGGUGACAGGUUUGACGAGAACCAGCGCAGCGCGGAGAUGGAGGAGUUCCUGCCCCACGGCGCUGAGAAGAAGCAGACGCACUUCACCGACGUGAGUGGCGGCACGGGGCCACCCCCCCUACACCU
rnacentral:lncRNA from 1 species